rnacentral:rRNA from 1 species
GAUGAACGCUGGCGGCAUGCCUAACACAUGCAAGUCGGGCGGGAAACACGGGAAACUGUGUUUCCAGUGGUGGACGGGGGAGUAACGCGAAAGAACCUGCCCUCGGGCGAGGAACAACAGCUGGAAACGGCAGCUAAUACCCCGUACCCUGAAGAGCUUAAGGCGGGAUCCGCCCGAGGGGGGGCACGCGCCUGGUUAACUAGUUGGAGAGGCAAUAGCUUACCAAGGUGAUGAUCAGUAGCUGGUCCGAGAGGAUGAACGGCCACACUGGGACGGGAGGCAGGAGCAGGCUCCUACGCGCGACAGGAGUGAGGAUGAUGGCGCAAUGGGGGAUGGCCUAAGGGGGCCAUGGCGCGUGGAAGUAGAGGGCCCAGGGAUGGAGAAAUGCGUUAGCCGGAGAGGAAACAAUGACGGUAUCUAGGGAGUAAGCAACGGCUAACUCUGUG